GACGAACGCUGGCGGCGUGCUUAACACAUGCAAGUCGAACGAUGAAGCCGGAGCUUGCUCUGGUGAAUUAGUGGCGAACGGGUGAGUAACACGUGAGUAACCUGCCCUUGACUCUGGGAUAACUGCGGGAAACUGUAGCUAAUACCGGAUACGACCCUCGGAGGCAUCUCCUGGGGGUGGAAAGAAUUUCGGUCAAGGAUGGACUCGCGGCCUAUCAGCUAGUUGGUGAGGUAAAGGCUCACCAAGGCGACGACGGGUAGCCGGCCUGAGAGGGUGACCGGCCACACUGGGACUGAGACACGGCCCAGACUGCUACGGGAGGCAGCAGUGGGGAAUAUUGCACAAUGGGCGCAAGCCUGAUGCAGCAGCGCCGCGUGAGGGAAGACGGCCUUCGGGUUGUAAACCUCUUUUAGUAGGGAAGAAGCGAAAGUGACGGUACCUGCAGAAAAAGCACCGGCUAACUACGUGCCAGCCGCCGCCGUAA
rnacentral:rRNA from 1 species